CCAAUAGCGUAUAUUAAAGUUGUUGCAGUUAAAAAGCUCGUAGUUGAAUUUCGGGAUCAGUACGCUGGUCGUGCCUUCGGUAUGUACUGGUGUUACUGGUUCCUACCUUCUGACGAACCGUCAUGUCAUUAAUUUGGUGUGGCGGGGAAUCAGGACUGUUACUUUGAAAAAAUUAGAGUGUUUAAAGCAGGCUCGCGCUGGAAUACAUUAGCAUGGAAUAAUGAAAUAGGACGUUCGAUCCUAUUUUGUUGGUUUCUAGGAUUGACGUAAUGAUUAAUAGGGAUAGUUGGGUGCAUUAUUAUUCAAUUGUCAGAGGUGAAAUUCUUGGAUUUAUUGAAGACUAACUACUGCGAAAGCAUUUGCCAAGGAUGUUUUCAUUAAUCAAGAACGAAAGUUAGGGGAUCGAAGACGAUCAGAUACCGUCGUAGUCUUAACCAUAAACUAUGCCGACUAGGGAUCGGAUGAUGUUAUUUUUAAUGACUCAUUCGGCGCCUUACG
rnacentral:rRNA from 1 species